UCACUGGGCGUAAAGGGUGCGUAGGCGGUUUGAUAAGUCUGAUGUGAAAUCCUAUGGCUCAACCAUAGAACUGCAUUGGAAACUGUCAAACUAGAAUACUGAAGGGGCAGAUGGAAUUAGUGGUGUAGGGGUAAAAUCCGUAGAUAUCACUAGGAAUACCGAAAGCGAAAGCGAUCUGCUGGGAAGUUAUUGACGCUGAGGCACGAAAGCGUGGGGAGCAAACGGGAUUAGAUACCCCGGUAGUCCACGCCCUAAACGAUGAAUGCUAGUCGUCGGAAAGCUCGUCUUUUCGGUGAUGCAGUUAACACAUUAAGCAUUCCGCCUGGGGAGUACGGUCGCAAGAUUAAAACUCAAAGGAAUAGACGGGGACCCGCACAAGUGGUGGAGCAUGUGGUUUAAUUCGAAGAUACGCGAAGAACCUUACCUAGCCUUGACAUUGAUUGAAUCUUUCAGAGAUGAGAGAGUGCCUUUCGAGGAACAUGAAAACAGGUGCUGCACGGCUGUCGUCAGCUCGUGUCGUGAGAUGUUGGGUUAAGUCCCGCAACGAGCGCAACCCUCGUCGUUAGUUGCUAACAGUUCGGCUGAGCACUCUAGCGAGACUGCCUUCGCAAGGAGGAGGAAGGUGAGGACGACGUCAAGUCAUCAUGGCCCUUAUGGCUAGGGCUACACACGUGCUACAAUGGGGCGUACAGAGAGUUGCGAUACCGCGAGGUGGAGCUAAUCUCAUAAAGCGUCUCUCAGUUCGGAUUGAUCUCUGCAACUCGAGAUCAUGAAGCUGGAAUCACUAGUAAUCGUAGAUCAGCAAUGCUACGGUGAAUACGUUCCCGGGUCUUGUACUCACCGCCCGUCACACCAUGGGAGUUGAUUUCACCCGAAAUCGGGAAGCAAACCUUCGGGAUGCUACCGCUUACG
rnacentral:rRNA from 1 species